UACGAAGGGGGCUAGCGUUGUUCGGAAUUACUGGGCGUAAAGCGCACGUAGGCGGAUACUUAAGUCAGGGGUGAAAUCCCGGGGCUCAACCCCGGAACUGCCUUUGAUACUGGGUAUCUCGAGUCCGGAAGAGGUGAGUGGAAUUCCGAGUGUAGAGGUGAAAUUCGUAGAUAUUCGGCAAGGAACACCAGUGGCGAAGGCGGCUACUGGUCCGGUACUGACGCUGAGGUGCGGAAAGCGUGGGGAGCA
rnacentral:rRNA from 1 species